rnacentral:rRNA from 1 species
UACGAAGGGGGCGAGCGUUGUUCGGAUUUACUGGGCGUAAAGGGCGCGCAGGCGGCGGACCAAGUCAGGCGUGAAAGCCCCGGGCUUAACCUGGGAGGUGCGUCUGGGACUGGUCUGCUAGAGAUCGGGAGAGGAGAGUGGAAUUCCCAGUGUAGAGGUGAAAUUCGUAGAUAUUGGGAAGAACACCAGUGGCGAAGGCGGCUCUCUGGACCGAUACUGACGCUGAGGCGCGAAAGCGUGGGGAGCAAACAGG